GACGAGCGCUGGCGGCGUGCUUAACACAUGCAAGUCGUGCGGUAAGGCCCUGCUUUGGUGGGGUACACGAGCGGCGAACGGGUGAGUAACACGUGGGUGACCUGCCUUCAGCUUUGGGAUAAGCCUGGGAAACUGGGUCUAAUACCGGAUAUGACCUUGGGGUGCAUGCCUUGGGGUGGAAAGCCUGUGUUGUUUGGCAUGGGUGGCUGGGGAUGGGCCCGCGGUCUAUCAGCUUGUUGGUGGGGUGAUGGCCUACCAAGGCGACGACGGGUAGCCGGCCUGAGAGGGCGUUCGGCCACACUGGGACUGAGACACGGCCCAGACUCCUACGGGAGGCAGCAGUGGGGAAUAUUGCGCAAUGGGCGGAAGCCUGACGCAGCGACGCCGCGUGGGGGAUGACGGCC
rnacentral:rRNA from 1 species